rnacentral:lncRNA from 1 species
GGCAGGCGGAGCAGCCCAGGAGGCAGCAGAGCUGGAUCGGGUGUUGAGUACAGCCAGAGUCAAGAACAGCCAUAGCUCUUGGUUCCUAUGCCUGCUGGGAGUGCCCCAGCCAGAACUCCGAGCAGUGGGAGCAAGGGGGGACAGGGCGAGGUGCCACCUUAGUCUGGCCGGGGAGGCAGAUGAUGAGGAGUGAUGGGGCAGGCAUGCGGCCACUCCAUCCUCUGCAGGAGCCAGCAGUACCCGGCAGCGCGACCGGCUGAGCCGCGGGGCCAGCAGGUCUUCCUCAAGCCGGACGAACCGCCGCCGCAGCCAUGCGCCGACAGCCUGCAGGAUGCUUUGCUGAGCCUGGGCGCCGUUAUCGACAUCGCGGGCCUUCGACAGGCUGCCAAGGAUGCCCUCUCGGCCGUGCUCCCCAAAGUGGAGACUGUCUACACCUACCUGGUAGAUGGGG